UACGGAGGAUGCGAGCGUUAUCCGGAUUUAUUGGGUUUAAAGGGUGCGUAGGCGGGCUUUUAAGUCAGCGGUAAAAAUUCGGGGCUCAACCCCGUCCGGCCGUUGAAACUGGGGGCCUUGAGUGGGCGAGAAGAAGGCGGAAUGCAUGGUGUAGCGGUGAAAUGCAUAGAUAUCACGCAGAACCCCGAUUGCGAAGGCAGCCUUCCGGCGCCCUACUGACGCUGAGGCACGAAAGUGCGGGGAUCGAACAGG
rnacentral:rRNA from 1 species